UACGAGGGGUGCAAGCGUUGCUCGGAAUUAUUGGGCGUAAAGGGCAAGUAGGUGGUCUCAUUUGUCUGGGGUGAAAGCCUUGAGCUUAACUCAAGAAGUGCCCCGGAAACGGUGAGACUCGAGUACUGGAGAGGGUCGUGGAAUUCCCGGUGUAGCGGUGAAAUGCGUAGAGAUCGGGAGGAACACCAGUGGCGAAGGCGACUUCCUGGCCUGUUCUUGACGCUGAGGCGCGAAAGCUAGGGUAGCAAACGGG
rnacentral:rRNA from 1 species